rnacentral:rRNA from 1 species
ACUCAAAUGAAUUGACGGGGGCCCGCACAAGCAGCGGAGCGUGUGGUUUAAUUCGAUGCAACGCGAAGAACCUUACCAGGGCUUGACAUGCCGGAAGUAGGAACCUGAAAGGGGGACGACCCGUCAAGGCGGGAACCGGCACAGGUGCUGCAUGGCUGUCGUCAGCUCGUGCCGUGAGGUGUUGGGUUAAGUUCCAUAACGAGCGCAACCCUCGCUGCUAGUUGCAUUCUCUAGCGGGACUGCCGAGUAGAACUCGGAGGAAGGUGGGGAUGACGUCAAGUCAUCACGGCCCUUACGCCCUGGGCUACACACACGCUACAAUGGCCGGUACAAUGGGCUGCGAAGGGGCGACCCGGAGCCAAUCCUAUCAAAACCGGCCUCAGUUCAGAUUGCAGGCUGAAACCCGCCUGCAUGAAGUCGGAGUUGCUAGUAACCGCCGGUCAGCACACGGCGGUGAAUACGUUCCCGGGCCUUGCACACACCGCCCGU